rnacentral:rRNA from 1 species
UACAUGGGGUGCAAACGUUGCUCGGAAUUAUUGGGCGUAAAGCGCGCGUAGGCGGUUACUUAAGUCGGAUGUGAAAGCCCUCGGCUUAAACUGAGGAAGUGCACCCGAAAACUGAGUAGCUAGAGUACGAAAGAGGGUCGCGGAAUUCCCGGUGUAGAGGUGAAAUUCGUAGAUAUCGGGAGGAACACCAGUGGCGAAGGCGGCUACCUGGACCAGCACUGACACUGAGGCACGGAAAGCGUGGGGAGCAAACAGGG